rnacentral:rRNA from 1 species
AGGACGAACGCUGGCGGCGUGCUUAACACAUGCAAGUCGAGCGGAAAGGCCCUUCGGGGUACUCGAGCGGCGAACGGGUGAGUAACACGUGAGUAAUCUGCCCCUAGCUCUGGGAUAGCUCCGGGAAACCGGGAUUAAUACCAGAUACGACCACUUUAGACAUCUUCUGUGGUGGAAAGAACUUCGGCUAGGGAUGAACUCGCGGCCUAUCAGCUUGUUGGUGAGGUAACGGCUCACCAAGGCGACGACGGGUAGCCGGCCUGAGAGGGCGACCGGCCACACUGGGACUGAGACACGGCCCAGACUCCUACGGGAGGCAGCAGUGGGGAAUAUUGCGCAAUGGGCGAAAGCCUGACGCAGCGACGCCGCGUGGGGAUGAAGGCCUUGGUUGUAAGCACUGUCGGAGGGAGAAUGAAUGACGGUACCCUCCAAGAAAGCCCCGGCUAACUACGCGCCAGCAGCCGC